GACGAACGCUGGCGGCGUGCUUAACACAUGCAAGUCGAACGGAAAGGCCCCAGCUUGCUGGGGUACUCGAGUGGCGAACGGGUGAGUAACACGUGGGUGAUCUGCCCUGCACUCCGGGAUAAGCCUGGGAAACUGGGUCUAAUACCGGAUAGGACCGUGCUUUAGUGUGUGCGGUGGAAAGUUUUUCGGUGCAGGAUGAGCCCGCGGCCUAUCAGCUUGUUGGUGGGGUAAUGGCCUACCAAGGCGGCGACGGGUAGCCGGCCUGAGAGGGUGUACGGCCACAGGGGGACAGAGAGACGGACGAGACUCCGACGGGAGGCAGCGGUGGGGAGUAGUGCACAAUGGGCGCAAGCCUGAUGCAGCGGCGCGGCGUGGGGGAUGACGGCCUUCGGGUAGUAAACCCCGUUCGGCAGGGACGAAGCUUUUGUGACGGUACCUGAAUAAGAAGCAACGGCUAACUACGUG
rnacentral:rRNA from 1 species